rnacentral:rRNA from 1 species
GUCAGUAGAGUUUGAUCUGGCUCAGGAUGAACGCUAGCUACAGGCUUAACACAUGCAAGUCGUGGGGGCAGCAUGAACUUAGCUUGCUAAGUUGAUGGCGACCGGCGCACGGGUGAGUAACGCGUAUCCAACCUUCCCCCUGGUAGGGCAUAGCCCGGCGAAAGUCGGAUUAAUACCCUAUGUUUUCCCUUGACGGCAUCCGACGGGGAACAAAGAUUUAUCGCCAUGGGAUGGGGAUGCGUCCGAUUAGGUAGACGGCGGGGUGACGGCCCACCGUGCCUUCGAUCGGUAGGGUUCUGAGAGGAAGGUCCCCCACACUGGAACUGAGACACGGUCCAGACUCCUACGGGAGGCAGCAGUGAGGAAUAUUGGUCAAUGGGCGGAAGCCUGAACCAGCCAAGUAGCCGUGCAGGACGACGGCCCUACGGGUUGUAAACUGCUUUUGGAGGGGAAUAAAGUGCGGGACGAGUCCUGCUUUGCAUGUACCCUCAGAAUAAGGACCGGCUAAUUCCGUGCCAGCCGCUGC